CGGGCUUACUCAAUUUAAAAGUUUUAAUAGAUGCGUUGCAUUGCAUGAGCACAAUUCCAUUUGGGAUAACUCUUACAUGCAUAGUCUAUUGUCCUUGUGUGCUUGCUACUUCUAAAAUUAUAAUUUUGGUAAUUUUCUUGUUAAUUAUACGUUGAAGUGAUACAUGCCAGUCAUUAUUUGACAGCAUAGAACUUAAAAAUUGGCUAUUGGGGCAAGUUUCAGUUUAAG
rnacentral:misc_RNA from 1 species